AGCAGCAGGUGCCUGACAUUUCCUCCAGGCAAGGCACCUUCACCCAUCCUCUGUACCCUCUGCUCAGCACUCGGUCGUUGUGAAAAAAUAUCAAAAAGGAAUCAAUGUGACUUUGAACAAUGCUGAUGAAAAAAUACAUCACUGAGGAGCAAUUGGCACUGAAGUCAGUAACACGACUGCUUAGACUGGCUCCACACUGAAUGCAGGUGGAGGUCAGUGCAAGCUCCACCGCCCUUUCUGCACUGCCUCCACAUGAGCAGCCCCAGUCUGAACAGAAAAGCUUGUGACAAGUUAUUGGCGGCUGUGUUAUGGCAAACACGGAUCCCGCAGUGCUGCUGCUGCCCAGAGGGGCCUGGAGGAAGCUGGUCCCACGGCUGCCAUCCCGGGGUCCUGGAGCACUGGCACAUGGAGAAACCUCCACCCUGAAGCAGAAGUGUUUAUUUUGGAUGUGCCCUGGAGCUGCUGAAUUUGAAAUAAUUUACAGAAGAUUCAGGGGGCAGUGCUCCUGCAAACAAUUUCUUUGGAUAACAGUUUAGAAGUUCAAAUAGCACUUUUCUACCACUGUCGUGUUCAUGUCUCUCAUUUCCAUGUGCAUUUUAGGAGAUGAACUUCUUACUGUGAAAUUUCACAGAAAUAAUGCAUUUCAGAUUACUAAUGGAAGUAUUUGAAAAAAUAAAAUGCUAAGCAUGAAAAGGUAGGUAUUUCCUGAACAUCACUGUUCUGUGGUGUGCUUACGGUGCUUCUCUGAGAGCUGCUGGCAGUAGCUGCAGAUCUGCGGUGCCACAAGUUUCCCACUGCAGUUGCUGGCAGGUGGACUGAGCCCCGGCUUGAACUUCAGGGGAGAAUUCCCCAUCUGAGGAGAACGUAGACACAAAUGCUGUGUCCAGUGACAACUCUUGCUGUUUUGGGGACUGCUUGUGGUCAGCCUUUGUUUUCCAUCAUAAUGGAAAACAAAGGGGACAGGGCUGCAGUCCUGGAGAACACCCAGGCAGGUGCAUUGCUCACCGCAGGGCUCCCUGCAGGAGCUGCCAAAGCGCUGGAAGCAGCAGUGGGGAGAUGGAGCGCUGCAAAUGCUCCCUCCGCAGCGGCCAGCGUUGGCUGCCCGCAUGGAUGGGCUCUCACCUGGGGAUGGUGAGGACAGGACGUCUUAGCAAAAUUGUGACUCUUAUGU